UCCAGACUCCUACGGGAGGCAGCAGUGGGGGAUAUUGCACAAUGGGGGGAACCCUGAUGCAGCGACGCCGCGUGGGCGAUGGAGCGCCUCGGCGCGUAAAGCCCUAUCAGCAGGGAAGAAGAUGACGGUACCUGACUAAGAAGCCCCGGCUAAAUACGUGCCAGCAGCCGCGGUAAUACGUAGGGGGCAAGCGUUAUCCGGAUUUACUGGGUGUAAAGGGAGCGUAGACGGCAGUGCAAGUCUGGAGUGAAAGGCGGGGGCUCAACCCCCGGACUGCUCUGGAAACUGUACGGCUGGAGUGCAGGAGAGGUAAGUGGAAUUCCUAGUGUAGCGGUGAAAUGCGUAGAUAUUAGGAGGAACACCAGUGGCGAAGGCGGCGUACUGGACUGUAACUGACGUUGAGGCUCGAAAGCGUGGGGAGCAAACAGGAUUAGAUACCCUAGUAGUG
rnacentral:rRNA from 1 species